UACGAAGGGUGCAAACGUUGCUCGGAAUUAUUGGGCGUAAAGCGCACGUAGGCGGCUCUAUAAGUCGGAUGUGAAAGCCCUCGGCUCAACCGAGGAAGUGCAUUCGAAACUGCAGAGCUUGAGUAGUUAAGAGGAUCGCGGAAUUCCCGGUGUAGAGGUGAAAGUCGUAGAUAUCGGGAGGAACACCAGUGGCGAAGGCGGCGAUCUGGGAACAUACUGACGCUGAGGUGCGAAAGCGUGGGGAGCAAACAGG
rnacentral:rRNA from 1 species